CACCUUCAUAAAUGACUUGGAUGCAGGACUGGAAGGGAUAGUAUGGUCUAUCCUAUUCAUAAAGAGAAAACUUUCCAGGGGCUGCCCUGAGCAUUGAUGAGCUUCCAUCCCACCUAAGGUAAUAGUAAUGUUACGCCCAGGGACAUGAGGAUUGAACUUGUGAGAGUGACAUAGAGUUUGAGAAUGAUGCUCUGAGACAAAAAGAAUGAAGACUAUCUAUUUACACAUGUCAAGUGGGUAAACUAUGGAGAAACAUUUUGUCCAGUUCCUUGUCUGAAGACCAAAGCAUCUGUAUACAGAAGGUUUUUUCCAGUUAUGCAU